rnacentral:sRNA from 2 species
GAAGAUCACACGCUUAAUUUCGAUGAAGAUCGGAAGCGGGGGAACCAAUCUUUUGGGGUGUAUCUGGCCGUAGGCCAGACGGAGAGCUCUUUCUCCCAACCCGCCAGCUAACCUCGUCAGCGGAAAGAGAGGUGAC